AUUUUGUUGGAAUAAUAUAACAAAAUAAUUAAAAUUAAUAAAACACUAAAAAAUUCAAGCAACUUUAGUAUUCGGUUUUUUUUGAUAAAUUAAUAGAAAAGCGUUUUAAAAACCAACAUUUUUUCAGUUUUAAAAUGUAAUUGUCGCCUAUUUAUACCAUUCGUCUUGGAGCCGUGUGUUUAAUGCGAUGAGAGAUGAAACCGGGUUUUGACGCAACGCCUGUCCAAUUCACUCCAUAAUUUUUUGGUUGGAUUUAUGUCAGGAUAUUGAGUCGGAGUUUCUAUAACUUUGGAACAAUUUUCAAGCAACCAAGACCUUAAGGAUAUAGGUUUUAUAUUUUGGGUCAUUAUCCUGAUAUAAGUUAAAUGUGUCCUAAAUACCAAUUUUGAUGGCGGAUUCUUCCAAACUAUCUCUCAAAAUUUGCAGAAAAGUGUGCUGGUUCAUAUAAGUUAAAUGUGUCCUAAAUACCAAUUUUGAUGGCGGAUUCUUCCAAACUAUCUCUCAAAAUUUGCAGAAAAGUGUGCUGGUUCAUAAUCCCAUCAAUGAAAUCGAAAAUUUCCGACACUUUUGGAUGACACACUAUAAGAUAUCCACCUCCGUAUUUCACCGUCGGUAGUAAGUUUCAGUUUUAAAGCACUGUGUUGUGUUUACGCCACACUAUUGUCCUUCAUAGUAUAUGUUUACUACUCUUUGGCAUUCAAAUUUUUUUUUUUCAUUAUUGAUUUUAACCAUUUAAUCGGCACUUAAAGUGCUUGAAAUAAAAAACCGAAUAUUAAAGUUACUCACGUAUAUCGACUUUAUUAACUUAAAGGGUAAACGAGAAUUAUAUUUGGUCACAUUUGAAAAAGCACAAUUUAUAUAAAACUAGCUAUUAGUAUUAAACAAAGAAUGAAAUAAAACACUCAUUUCACACAAUUAAUACAUAAAUAUAGUGAAGAUUUGGUACACCGACUGCUGUGACAUAUAAUGAUAUUAUAUAUAUAACAUUUCCAAAUCAAAAACUAUUUUAAUAAGACCCAAUGUUGACUACAAACCAUUCUCGAAUCCACCUGAAGGCAAAAAAUUUAAUUCAUACACACGUACUGCAGAAUAUUACAUAUAAAGAUACGAAUCAUAAAAAUAUGUACAAAUUAUUACUUGCAAUAAGAAAAUAGUUCCACUAAAUAUAAUUUUGUUUCGUAAUUCUUUUCUGCAACUACAGUAGUUUUCCGAAAUAACGAAGACAUUAAUUGUCAGGCCUGUUCGCUAUAUCGUAUUUUUCGUUAAUUCGAAUACUCACUUAGAGGUAUUUUUAUCAAUAAAAAUGAGUUAUAUAUCCGUAAAUUGCAGUUUAAUAAAUUGUUUUAUUAAUUAUUUGUUAAAAAAUGAAAAAAAAACAUAACAAAACAAUUCAAAUCCAGUAAAUUCUUCCAAAAUGGAUCAAUUCUGACACUCAUACUUCUAUUUGGUGCUGAUCAAUAAUUUUAAGCUUUUUUAUAAAAUUCAACAUUUUUUCAAUUUGCACAUUUUUUUUAAUUUUUUCCAGUUUUAUUUUUAAUUCUGGUUCGAUGUUAUUUGAUUUUUUCCUCUUUCUUCAUAUGUCUUCUUCAUGUUGUUCGUUAAAAUGAGUACUUACAAAUUCUUGAUGUUCGUUAUUUACGGUACUCAAUGUAGCAAAUUUGCUUGUUCGUUAUAAGCGGUUUUCGUUAAAACGAAUAUUCGUUAUUUCGGAAAACUACUGUACUUUGUAUUUGCUGGAAAAUUUUGAAAAUUUUUUGCGAUUCAGUUGUGCAAUGGUUGCUUUUUCUAAUCACUUAUGGGUCAAAAACCCAUAUCUCAGGAACUACUCGACCGAUUUCAAUGAAACUUGGUUUGUAAUAGUUUCCUUACAUCCCAAUGAUAUGUUGUGAAAAUAGGCCAAAUCGCUUCACAACCACGCCUACUUCCUAUAUACCAGAACUUUGAAGACAAUCUGAAUCGUUUACUUUACAAUAUAUAAAGUAAAUACUAGUGAAGAUAUCGGUGCAGAACUUUGCACAAAUACUAUGCUAAUAGUGUGGCAGCCCCAUUCUAAAAAUCGCCGAUAUCGGACCAUAGGUUUUUAAGGCCCCAUAUAUCGAACACGAGGACCUCGGUGCUUCUAUCCUAAUAUUAUGGUUUCCAACUUUCAAUGGACAUUAUACAAUAUAUAUGACGAAUAUGUGGGUCAAAUUGUGUAUUAUAUAAUAUAAAUAAAGUUAAAUAUAUAAAUUGCGAGAGUAUAAAAUGUUCGGUUACACCCGAACCUAUGGUGCCAAGAAAUAAGUGUACCAAGUUUCAUCAACAUAUCUUAAUUUUUACUCAAGUUACAGCUUGCACAGACGGACGGACGGACGGACGGACAGACAGACAUUCGGAUUUGAACUCCACUCUUCACCCUGAUCACUCUAUAAUACUCUCUUUAGCAACAUUUGUUGCGAGAGUAUAAAAAAAUUGUAUGCGAAGUUAAUAAAUAAAAUUGUAAAAAUCUAUAUCUUACAGCUUUUUGAAAAAUUUCGAGUUUAAUUGAAAAUUCUAUAACUCGAAGUUUUUUUUGUGGAUUAUGGUGAUUCGAGUUAGAGAAGUUCCACUGUAAUCUGUGAUAUCCUGCUCUUGGUCUUGGUUUCAUUGUGCUCUUUGAAGAUAUAAUCACUCUAAUCACAGACCAUUUCUUCAGCUCUUUUCGAUGGGGAUUUCCUUUAAUAUGUCAUAAUAGAGCUCUUUCAAUCAAUUGUGACCAGUUAACCAGUUUUCCCCAAACUAUAAGCCAUAAAUGAAAUUGUUAAAAAAAAUACGAUGGUCGUGAGCACCUCGCUAUAAUUUUGUUGUGAUAAAUCUGGGAAAAAUGCUAAAUGACUAAAACAAAAACUUUCAAUUUACAAUAUAUUCACUGAGUGGUAAUUGUGUAAAUUUAUUUUGUAAGCAUUCCAUCAACAAUUUUUUUAAACAAGAGUAAAAGUUUUAAACUUUAUGAUUUUUCGGCACCCCAAUUAUAUUCGGUAUUGUUACAUACAUGCAUAAUUUAAUGUUCAAAUAAAAAAAGAAGGAAGGGUUAAGUACGGGUGUAACCAAGAAAUUUAUACCCUUGAAAUUUUUUUUAUAGAAUUUUUUUAAGACACAAUUUGUCCUUUAUAUUAAAUUCGACAUAAAGUCCUCUAGAAUAACGAAAAUAAUUAUAACAAGUAAGGAAAGGUUAAGUUCGAGUGCAACCGAACAUUUUAUAUUCUCGCAAUUUAUUGCUAUAUUUUUAUUAAGAUAACACACAAAUUUACUCAUAGAUUCGGCAUUUCACUCAUUUUCACCACCAAAGUACACUAUAUUCAAGAUUAUACGCUCACUUAAUUUUGCUAAGGUAUCUCAUAUAUAUAUGAUAUUAUAUUAUAUAUUGAAUUUCAUUCGAAUCGGUCGGGUAGUUCCUGAGAUAUGGUUUUUGACCCAUAAGUGGGCGAUGCCACGCACAUUUUCCAUUUUGCAAAUAAAUCUGAGUGCAGCUUCCUUCUGCAAUUUCUUCUGUAAAAUUUAGUGUUUCCGACGUUUUUCGUUAGUGAGAUAACCCACUUUUAGUAAUUUUCAACCUAACCUUUGUAUGGGAGGUAGGGGCGGUUAUUAUCCGAUUUCAACUAUUUUCACGCGGGGGCCACGCGGGGGACGGGGCCACGCCCACUUCCCCCAAAAAAAAAAUUACAUCCAAACAUGCCCCUUCCUAGUGCAAUCCUUUGUUCCAAAUUUUACUUUUAUAGCUUUAUUUAUGGCUUAGUUAUGACACUAUAUGUGUUUUCGGUUUUCGCCAUUUUGUCGACGUGGCAGUGGUCCGGUUUUGCCCAUUUUCGAAAGAAACCCUCUCACGGCCCAAGGGACAUGUGUUCCAAGUUUCAUUAAGACAUCUCAAUUUUUACUCAAGUUAUCCGUUGCACGGACGUACGUACAGACAGACAUUCGGAUUUUGACUCGUCUCCUCACCCUGAUCAUUUUGAUAUAUAUAAAACUCUAUAUCUAACUCGUUUAGUUUUAUGCCUUACAAACAAUCGUUAUGUUAACAAAACUAUAAUACUCUCUUAACAACUUUUGUUGCGAGAGUAUAAAAAGUAUAUGAGAAUGCGGACUGGGUCAUUUCUGAACCGAUUUCACUAAUUUUUGCCAACAAUCUAUAAUAUAUCCAAUAUUCACUUAAUAUUGCUAAGAUAAAAACACCUUCGAGUUAGAGGGACUUCCGAGAUACGGAAGGUAAUUUGAUGAAAUUUGACUUCUAUUGGCAAAUCAAGAGUUCGAGUCAUGGAGAACUUCAUGGUUUAGAAGUUCGAGUUAUGGAAGUUCAACUGUACAUUAUUAAAAGAAAAAUAUCCCCUAAUUUCAAAUUGAAAUUAUUUUGUAAAAGCAUACAUUUUAAGAAUAUUUUUACAUAUAUAUAAAAAUACCAUUCAUUUUACU